rnacentral:rRNA from 1 species
UACGUAGGGUGCGAGCGUUGUCCGGAAUUACUGGGCGUAAAGGGCCAGUAGGCGGCCAACUAAGUCGGAUGUGAAAUCCCCAGGCUUAACCUGGGAACUGCAUCCGAUACUGGAUGGCUUGAAUUCGGGAGAGGGAUGCAGAAUUCCAGGUGUAGCGGUGAAAUGCGUAGAUAUCUGGAGGAAUACCGGUGGCGAAGGCGGCAUCCUGGACCGACAUUGACGCUGAACGGCGAAAGCUAGGGGAGCAAACGGG